rnacentral:rRNA from 2 species
AAAUUUGAAAUCUGGCGCAAGCCCGAGUUGUAAUUUGUAGAGGAUGCUUCUGGGUAGCGACCGAUCUAAGUUCCUUGGAACAGGACGUCAUAGAGGGUGAGAAUCCCGUACGUGACCGGCCCGCACCCUCCACGUAGCUCCUUCGACGAGUCGAGUUGUUUGGGAAUGCAGCUCUAAAUGGGAGGUAAAUUUCUUCUAAAGCUAAAUACCGGCCAGAGACCGAUAGCGCACAAGUAGAGUGAUCGAAAGAUGAAAAGUACUUUGGAAAGAGAGUUAAAAAGCACGUGAAAUUGUUGAAAGGGAAGCGCCUGCAACCAGACUUCGCGGCAGUGUUCCGCCGGUCUUCUGACCGGUUCAUUCUCUGUCGCGAGGCCAUCAUCGUCUAGGCCCGCCGGAUAAGACCGUAGGAAUGUAGCUCACCUUCGGGGGAGUGUUAUAGCCUCCGGUGAUGCGGCGAGGCUUGGGCGAGGUCCGCGCUUCGGCAAGGAUGAUGGCGUAAUGGUUGUCGGCGGCCCGUCUUGAAACACGGACCAAGGAGUCUAACAUCUAUGCGAGUGUUCGGGUGUCAAACCCCUACGCGUAAUGAAAGUGAACGGAGGUGGGAACCGCAAGGUGCACCAUCGACCGAUCCUGAUGUCCUCGGAUGGAUUUGAGUAAGAGCAUAGCUGUUGGGACCCGAAAGAUGGUGAACUAUGCCUGAAUAGGGUGAAGCCAGAGGAAACUCUGG